CUUUGUGUGUGCCAUUGUCACCUCACACAGAACACACCAAAAUGAUUUGAUUACAGCGCCACCUGUUGGUCAAAAGUGAUAAGCCAUUUAAUCAUAAUACUAGUGCUUAUAUUUAUGAUUUUUCCACCAUUUCAAUUACAAUCAUCCUAAAAAUGCUGUAAUUGCUCAUUGUUGCAUUUGGUGUGAUGCUCCAUGCCAUGCUUAGCUCCUCAAUUUGCCGCUGGAGUGCUUGGCCCCGUAAUUGCUGCUUGCAGCUAUAUUUAGGGGCCGAGCACCGAAGGUGCUUAGGCACCUAUUGUAUCCGUUAGGAUUCUUAUUAUUAUUAUUAUUAUUAUUAUUAUUAUUAUUAUUAUUAUUAUUAUUCUUCCGCUUCCGCCGCAAGUCUAUGGCAGCCCAUAGAACUGACUGC
ensembl:lncRNA